GAGCCCCACGUUGGGUGCAGAGAUUAAAAAUAAAAUCCUUAAAAAAAUUUUUUUUUCAUUUUGAAAUAGUGAUAUAUUCUGACAAUAUACUAUAAUGUUUUUGCUCUUAGAUUCCACAUUUUCCAAAGAAUUAUGACACCAGUCAUUAUAUGUUAAUUUUUACCUUAUGAUCACGGUGAACCAGCUCAGGCCUUCUCAGAUGGACCGCUGGCUGACGGCACCCUAACAGCCCAGUUCCAGCACAGGCAGGAUCGAGGGAAGAGGAGGGUUCCUCCGGCUUCACAAGACACAGCAGUAUAACCAUUUUCCCUCAUUCAGAACAAGACUGUUGAGCUGAUCUGGAAAAGAGAUCUGCCAUUGUCAACAUGCUAACAAAUUCAGCCUGCUCCACUGUAUAACCUCAGGAAGAGACAGUGACAAUCCCUGGGGAUAAAAUACUGCUCUUCAGAAUAUGUGAUCUUUUUUAGGUUCUUGAUAUUCUACCUUGUUCCAGAAAGGAUUUAAAGGGCAACACAUCAGGCUAGUGACUACAGCAUUGCCAGUUAACAACGGUUCUGAUGUCCAGCUCCCUGCCCCAGACCCUGGGCUGGUUUCCUGGUGAGUGUUCCCAGGGAACCUCAAACCAGACAGACUGCAUUCCAGACCACUCUGGGCUGAAAGCAUAGCGCACACAAGAUGGCCACAGGAAGUCAAGUGCCACAGUAGAUGCAAAAGGAAGAAUCCUUGCCCUCCAGCCCCUAACUUCCUAAGAGUCAAGAUCUGCAACCAAGUUCAUUUCCUGAGCUUGUCCUAUCUCACGUGCUUUCCAGGAGUAUUAAAUGAGAUAACAAGGAAAAGCCUA